UAGUAUUCAAUUGUCAGAGGUGAAAUUAUUGGAUUUAUUGAAGACUAACUACUGCGAAAGCAUUUGCCAAGGAUGUUUUCAUUAAUCAAGAACGAAAGUUAGGGGAUCGAAGACGAUCAGAUACCGUCGUAGUCUUAACCAUAAACUAUGCCGACUAGGGAUCGGAUGAUGUUAGUUUUUUAAUGACUCA
rnacentral:rRNA from 1 species